rnacentral:lncRNA from 1 species
AUAGAUAGUGUGGUAAUACUGAGGAGAACUCGCGAAACUCCAUUUCCAUUACGAAUUUAAUAGGGUUUUUGGAGAUGUUUUAUGAAUCUAGUAGUUUUUUUUUAGAAAAAACUUCAAAUAUUAUUUCUGUGGUUUUGCACUUUUUUAUUUUACCAUUUGGUUUAAAGUGUACCAAUUUAGUACCCGUGAUUUUAUUUUUCUCUUUUUAUUAUUCCCUCUACUAAUUUUUUUUCAUUAAAUUAGUAACAGAGUUAAAAUUAAAAGGUACUAAAGUGAAUAUUCGAUAAAUCUAGGUAGAGUAUCUGAAUUUUUUUGUAUAUAAUUUAACGAAAUGUUAACAGAGGAGCUGACAAAAAUAGAAAAAUAAAACCACAAAGUACUAAUUAAAUUAAUACACUUUAAACCAUAUGGUUCUAAAAUAAAAAAGUGCAAAACCACAUGAGUGAUAUUCGAAGUUUACCAAUUUUUUAUAUAGGUGUGACCUGUAGUAGGCAC